rnacentral:rRNA from 1 species
UACGUAGGCAGCGAGCGUUGUUCGGAGUUACUGGGCGUAAAGGGUGUGUAGGCGGUUUCUUAAGUUUGGUGUGAAAUCUCCCGGCUUAACCGGGAGGGUGCGCCGAAUACUGAGGGACUCGAGUGCGGGAGGGGAGAGUGGAAUUCCUGGUGUAGCGGUGAAAUGCGUAGAUAUCUGGAGGAACACCGGUGGCGAAGGCGGCAUCCUGGACCGGCAUUGACGCUGAGGAGCGAAAGCCAGGGGAGCAAAGCGGG